GAUCACCCGCGCUACGCCGCAGU
rnacentral:siRNA from 1 species